rnacentral:rRNA from 1 species
CCAUAACGACUCUCGGCAACGGAUAUCUCGGCUCUCGCAUCGAUGAAGAACACCCCCCGGCACAAUGUGUGCCAAGGAAAACUAAACUCUAGAAGGCUCGUCUUCAUGUUGCCCCCGUUCGCGGUGUGCUCAUGGGAUGUGGCUUCUUUAUAAUCACAAACGACUCUCGGCAACGGAUAUCUCGGCUCACGCAUCGAUGAAGAACGUAGCAAAAUGCGAUACUUGGUGUGAAUUGCAGAAUCCCGUGAACCAUCGAGUUUUUGAACGCAAGUUGCGCCCGAAGCCUUUUGGCCGAGGGCACGUCUGCCUGGGCGUCACGCAUCGCGUCGCCCCCCACAACUCUCCGUAAAGGGAGCUCGUGUUUUGGGGGCGGAUAUUGGUCUCCCGUGCUCAUGGCGUGGUUGGCCGAAAUAGGAGUCCCUUCGAUGGACGCACGAACUAGUGGUGGUCGUAAAAACCCUCGUCUUUUGUUUCGUGCUGUUAGUCGCAAGGGAAACUCUAAGAAAACCCCAACGUGUCGUCUUUUGACGGCGCUUCGACCGCGACCCCAGGUCAGGCGGGACUACCCGCUGAG